AGAGUUUGAUCAUGGCUCAGGACGAACGCUGGCGGCGUGCUUAACACAUGCAAGUUGAACGGUACUCCAUGGAAGCUUGCUGAAGUGGAGUAUAGUAGCGGACGGGUGAGUAAUGCAUGAGAAGCUGCCAUUGGGAGGGGGACAACAGCUGGAAACGGCUGCUAAUACCCCGUAUGCCGGAAGGUGAAAGGGAUUUAUCCCGCCCGAUGAGGUGCUCAUGUCCUAUCAGCUAGUUGGUGAGGUAACGGCUCACCAAGGCGACGACGGGUAGCCGGCCUGAGAGGGUGAACGGCCACACUGGAACUGAGACACGGUCCAGACUCCUACGGGAGGCAGCAGUGGGGAAUAUUGGGCAAUGGGGGGAACCCUGACCCAGCGACGCCGCGUGAGGGAAGACGGCCUUCGGGUUGUAAACCUCUUUUGUAUGGGAAGAAGGAUGUGACGGUACCAUACGAAUAAGUCCCGGCUAACUACGUGCCAGCAGCCGCGGUAAUACGUAGGGGACGAGCGUUGUCCGGAAUUACUGGGCGUAAAGGGCGCGCAGGCGGUUUGUCAAGUCAGCUGUUAAAAAUGGGGGCUUAACCCUCAUAUGCUGUUGAAACUGGCAGACUGGAGUGCUGUAGAGGCAAGUGGAAUUCCCAGUGUAGCGGUGAAAUGCGUAGAUAUUGGGAAGAACACCGGUGGCGAAGGCGACUUGCUGGGCAGCAACUGACGCUGAGGCGCGAAAGCCAGGGGAGCAAACGGGAUUAGAUACCCCGGUAGUCCUGGCCGUAAACGAUGAAUGCUAGGUGUGGGUGUAGAGAUACAUCCGUGCCGGAGCUAACGCGAUAAGCAUUCCGCCUGGGGAGUACGGUCGCAAGAUUGAAACUCAAAUGAAUUGACGG
rnacentral:rRNA from 1 species